rnacentral:rRNA from 1 species
UACGUAGGGGGCAAGCGUUGUCCGGAUUUACUGGGCGUAAAGAGCGUGUAGGCGGCCACGCAGGUCCGUUGUGAAAACUGGAGGCUCAACUUCCAGCCGUCGACGGAAACCGUGUGGCUAGAGUCCGGAAGAGGAGAGUGGAAUUCCUGGUGUAGCGGUGAAAUGCGCAGAUAUCAGGAAGAACACCAAUGGCGAAGGCAGCUCUCUGGGACGGUACUGACGCUGAGGAGCGAAAGCGUGGGGAGCAAACAGG